AGGGUUAGGUGUAGGGUUAAGGGUUGGGGUAGGGUUAGUGUCUGGGUUAGGGGUAAGGAUAGUGGUUGGAGUAGGGUUAGGAUUAAGGGUAGGGAUAGGGCAGGGUUUGGGUUACCCAACCCUACCCCUAACCCUAAUCUAACCCUACCUCUAACCUUAUCCCUAUCCCUACCUACUCCUAACCCUACCCUUAACCCUAACCCUACCUACCCUUAACCCUACCCUACCCUACCCUUAACCCUACCCUACCCUACCCUUAACCCUACCCCCUACCUU